GGUGAAUUUAAGACUGGACAAAUUCAAAUGUCUCAAAUAAUCUCUUUUAUACACAAAUAUGUCUGGAUAAAUUCAAGAUGGGGCAAAACCGUUUGCAAGUGAGAAAGGACAAAAAAAUCAUGGGGCAAAGAUACCCUGUAUACAGUCAUUCAACAGCUUAAUUAAAAAUUUUAACAUUUAGGAAUUAUUAUUUUUGAACAUGUAAGUGAAAACCCUUAAAGAAAAUCAAGAAAAUGUAACAUGGAAUGCACAUGUAUAAAUAUAAUGCAUAGUUUUCUUGCAACUUGUGCAAAAGAACUUUUCUAUUAACUUUAAGUUUAUCUGUAUGUUGACUUUGUUAUAAUACAGGUAUGAUGAAAAAUAAAUUAAUAUGCUUGCUAGGUUAAGUUUUUGUAUGAUUAGUUUGGCCUUUGGACCCAAGUACUAGCUACCAUCAACUGUUUGUACAUCAGACAUGGCAGUUUUUAUUAAAUGUUUUUACUUUAAUAUUUUGUUGUGGAAAUAAUGCCAAGGUUUAAACAUGUACAUGUGUUUUUAAAAGUUUUUGAGCAGUAGUACAGUGUAAUAUGCAUAUUUUUAUUUUUCAGUGUGGAACAAUAAACCAGGUUUUAUAGGAUCAACUUUUGUUCCCAAUAUUUGUCUUGUACCUGGGUACACAUAAAUAUCUCAGAGUUUCAUUAAAAUUUGAAACUC
rnacentral:misc_RNA from 1 species